rnacentral:rRNA from 1 species
UACGUAGGGACCAAGCGUUGUUCGGAUUUACUGGGCGUAAAGGGCGCGUAGGCGGCAAUUCAAGUCAUCUGUGAAAUCUCCGGGCUUAACUCGGAAUGGUCAGGUGAUACUGCUUUGCUAGAGUGCAGAAGGGGCAAUCGGAAUUCUUGGUGUAGCGGUGAAAUGCGUAGAUAAUCAAGAGGAACACCUGAGGUGAAGACGGGUUGCUGGGCUGACACUGACGCUGGAGGCGCGAAAGCUAGGGGAGCAAACGGG